AUUGAACGCUGGCGGCAUGCUUUACACAUGCAAGUCGAACGGUAACAGGCCUUCGGGUGCUGACGAGUGGCGAACGGGUGAGUAAUGCAUCGGAACGUGCCCAAUCGUGGGGGAUAACGUAGCGAAAGUUACGCUAAUACCGCAUAAGCCCUGAGGGGGAAAGCAGGGGAUCGCAAGACCUUGCGCGAAUGGAGCGGCCGAUGUCAGAUUAGCUAGUUGGUGGGGUAAAGGCCUACCAAGGCGACGAUCUGUAGCGGGUCUGAGAGGAUGAUCCGCCACACUGGGACUGAGACACGGCCCAGACUCCUACGGGAGGCAGCAGUGGGGAAUUUUGGACAAUGGGCGCAAGCCUGAUCCAGCCAUGCCGCGUGCGGGACGAAGGCCUC
rnacentral:rRNA from 1 species